rnacentral:rRNA from 1 species
GAUGAACGCUGGCGGCGUGCCUAAUACAUGCAAGUCGAGCGAAUGGAUUAAGAGCUUGCUCUUAUGAAGUUAGCGGCGGACGGGUGAGUAACACGUGGGUAACCUGCCCAUAAGGCUGGGAUAACUCCGGGAAACCGGGGCUAAUACCGGAUAACAUUAUGAACCGCAUGGUUCGAAAUUGAAAGGCGGCUUCGGCUGCCACUUAUGGAUGGACCCGCGUCGCAUUAGCUAGUUGGUGAGGUAACGGCUCACCAAGGCAACGAUGCGUAGCCGACCUGAGAGGGUGAUCGGCCACCCUGGGACUGAGACACGGCCCAGACUCCUACGGGAGGCAGCAGUAGGGAAUCUUCCGCAAUGGACGAAAGUCUGACGGAGCAACGCCGCGUGAGUGAUGAAGGCUUUCGGGUCGUAAAACUCUGUUGUUAGGGAAGAACAAGUGCUAGUUGAAUAAGCUGGCACCUUGACGGUACCUAACCAGAAGGCCACGGCUAACUACGUGCCAGCCGCCGCCGUAA